CUUUCGAGUCAUUCGAAGGGCGUAGAGAAGCCGAAGAAAUGAGAGGAGCAAGGAUGAGGCGUUACGUACCCAAACUUAUUGAUUGGCGUAUGGGCUUCAGAAAAUUCAAUUUCUUCAUGGUCAAUUGUGAGAUUGGAUCAUAUUCUGUAUCCAGGGAUAGUAUUGGUCAAGGUUUAGUCGGUGGUUAUCUGAAUGGAUCCUUGCAGAAGAUGUAUGCCACUUCUUGUGCUAAGCUAUCAGAUGAUACCUUGAAAGAUAAUCCUGUUUCAGAUAUGGUAGUUGAUUCAUUUGGGAGGCUGCACACUUACCUGAGGAUCUCCUUGACGGAACGUUGCAAUCUUCGAUGUCAGUACUGCAUGCCGGCGGAGGGUGUGGAGCUCAGUCCUAGCCCUAAACUUCUCUCACAGAGUGAGAUUAUUCGACUGGCAAAUCUAUUUGUGAGCUCUGGAGUGGAGAAAAUUCGUUUGACUGGAGGGGAGCCAACCAUUAGGAAGGAUAUUGAAGAAAUAUGUCUACAUUUGUCUAGCUUGAAGGGGCUAAAAACGCUGGCCAUGACUACCAAUGGAAUUACUCUCUCAAAAAAACUUCCGAAACUGAAGGAAUGUGGGCUUACUUCUGUGAAUAUCAGUUUAGACACGUUGGUCCCAGCAAAGUUUGAAUUCAUGUCCCGACGCAAAGGGCAUGAAAGGGUUAUGGAAUCAAUUAAUACUGCUAUAGACCUUGGAUACAAUCCUGUGAAGGUGAACUGCGUUGUAAUGCGUGGCUUCAAUGAUGAUGAGAUUUGUGAUUUCAUAAAGUUAACACGUGAAAAGCCACUUAAUAUUAGAUUCAUCGAGUUCAUGCCUUUUGAUGGGAAUGUCUGGAAUGUCAAGAAACUUGUACCGUACUAUGAAAUGUUGGAUAGAGUGGUAAAACAGUUUCCAUCCCUGAAGAGACUUCAGGAUCACCCAGCAGACACGGCCAAGAAUUUCAGGAUAGACGGGCAUUGUGGUACUGUUUCUUUUAUAACAUCAAUGACUGAGCAUUUUUGUGCUGGAUGCAGUAGGUUACGACUUUUAGCUGAUGGAAACUUCAAAGUUUGCUUGUUUGGCCCUUCAGAGGUUAGUUUAAGAGAUCCCCUUCGCGAUGGUGCUGACGAUGAUAAGCUUAAGGAAAUAAUUGGGGCAGCGGUAUGCAUUUUACAGUAUUCUCAUGAUCCUGAACUUCCGACACAACCAUUAAAUGUUAAAUCCACAAAUGCUUCAUGUUCUCAGUGAUAGUAGAUGUGAAGAGGAAGAAAGCUUCACAUGCUGGGAUGUUUGACAUUGCAAGGACAGCAAAUAGGCCUAUGAUCCAUAUUGGUGGCUAAAUUUUUGGUUUUAGAGGGUUUAACUUGCUUGCAUAGCAAACUGGAUAUUCUUUUAUUUGGUCGAUCUCUGCACAGAGAGCCCGAAAAACAUUUCGGCACAUGGUUGUUACCACCCCAAGUACUGUGUAUCCAAGCAAGGCAAGAUCACAACUCAAGUCAUUCAUUUACUAAUGAAGAAUUGUGACUUUUCUUCUGUUACUUUCAAAGUUCUGGUUUAUUUCUAAGCAUUUACAGUCAAGAAUAUCCCAAGUUCUCUCCUUUUGUAACUUAUCUUUAUGUAGCAUCUUUUUUUUUGAAUGUUUUUGUUUUUGCUUUUGUUGUAACAAGGAAAUUGAGACACACACUUUGUCCUUAUAUUGUAUAUGAAGUUAUCUAUGCAAGAUAUGUUAUUAUCGUGUU